GUCUAUGGCCAUACCACCCUGAACACACCCAAUCUCAUCUGAAAUAGUGUUGGAGGGCCAAGUGGUGGAGCACCUGGUUAUGCACAUACAUUACAGUGCACAAAGACCCAGGUUCAAGCCCCUGGUCCUCAUGGGCA
rnacentral:rRNA from 1 species